UCUGUUCUCCAAUCAACAUAAAACAACGUUGUUGUUUACGCACUAACGAUCGGAACGAAAGCUCUCACUUUCUCACUCGAUCUCGCUCUCUUCUUCUUUGUCAAGCUCUACUUUACAAUCUCUCGUUCUCCUUCUCCCGGCCUCUGACUUUUCUCAUUGUUACUUUUUUUAGUUUUACUCUUUUUUGGUUUGUCUGUGUGGCUAUUUUGUGGUUCUUUGAUUCUUUUUUUAGGUUUUUCUAUCCGUGAUGGAUUCCCCGCCAGGUACUCCGAUUUCAUCACUCUCUCAUACGGUGGCCACUCCGUCACUUCCGUCGGCACCGAAAAAGAAACCCCAACAGUCUAUGGCAAGGUUUAUUCUGCACUCUUUAGAAGAUGUUAGCGAAAUGGUUCAGGAAAUUAUUCUAAGGCGUGAGUACAGCCAAGAAGCAUUGAAUGCUGAGAGAGAAAGAAAAAUGCGCAUUUUGAUGUCACUGCGAUAGUCAUUCAUUGCUUGCGUGAGUAUGAUUCUUGUGUUGGUUGGUAACUUGGUAUGAUUCUCUGUUCCUUUAUUCCUUUCAAUUUAUAUUUGGUAAGAUUCUAAGUGUAUAGAUUUAUAUACGUUUUUAUGCCAAAAUAUAAAAUAUGCCUUCGAUCUUGAUUUUUAUCCUAAAGAAAGUACCUAUUUUAUAUUAUGAAUCUAUGAUGAAUGAUGAUACUUCUAUAGACGGAUAUGUGUUAGGUAACAAUUUAUGUGUUUCAAUUGUUUAUGAUUCUCAUUCUAAAAUCUAUAAUAAAUCUCCUAAUGUUAGUCCCUCUUGUAACUAUUCGAAUAUUUGAGCACUCACUACCAACAUGUUCUAAUACCCUCUCAUUCACUAUCUAAGGUAUGCUCUUUUCUUUUCCAAAACUAUUUUGAAUCUAUUACUAACUUGAUCGUUGGAGUCUUUGCAGUACCACACCCAUUGCUCAUGAGCAAGAACAGUUUUGCCAACAACAGUUGGUCAAUCUAAUCUACUUCAUAUUUGGACAAUCUCUUCUAUGUGGAAAAAGUGUCGUUUGUCUGCUCGAUAUUGAAAUCGGCCUACAUUCAAGAGAUGUAAGCAUACAUGCAGUAUAUUCCACCACAAGCCUUUCUAGAUCAUAACUCCAAAUCCUAUGAUUGAGUAUUUCUUUUCAACACUUGUUAGGAUUAGGCAAUAGUAUAUAAUUGAACCAAGAGAUCUAUGUUCAACACAUGUCCAGUGCUUCCUCUGCUUACAUCAAGUCACCAUUUUACUUCCUCUGGUUCACAAUAUAUCUGGAUUGAUGUGCAACUUUGAAGUUCUAGGAUGUCAGAUUAUUUCCUUUCUUUGUAUUGUUACAAUAUUGUUUCAUUUGGCCUAUUGUUUCUAUCUUGACCUUAAUUUGUAUAAACUUCAGUUUCCAUGAUAUUGUUAUGUUUAUUUUCCUUCC